GGCGGCUGUGCUUCCGGUCGCGGUGGCUGUGCUUCCAGUCGCGUGGUGGCGAUGUGGCUGGUCGAGGGAACUCAGGUGAGGCGGACUGUCACCUGUUUGUCGAUCUGUGCCCACCUCCUAUUCUUUCUCUCCCAACGAACAUUACGUACACAGUUACUGCCACACAUGGCGCUCUCCUCUCCUGCAGCGAUCCUGUUGUGCUCCUUCACACAUCGGACCACCGUGGCGCGGAAGUAACCGUAGAAGAUCGCGGUCCGCUUAGCAAAUUCGGGUGUUUUGAGUCGGCUACCCGGCAAGGUAAUUUUUUCCUUCUCAGUAGUUCUCUCAUAGAAAUUGGGUGGAAUGGAUUCAUGGGUGUGCUAGGUGGAGUGCCAUUAGAUUGCAAUGUUAGCGGGCAGAAUAUCAUCUCCUGCACACACAAACUUGGGUUUGCCAAGGUAAUAGGUCAAUACUACUAUCAUUUGGCUUUGCAAUGGUCAUUUACAUAGUUCUGUUUUUUCGAAUCAUGAUGGUUUAGUUUGUUUGUUACCAGCUGCUUCAAUUAGGACUAACAGUUGGGAGUUGUCGAUUGGAUUGAAUUUGGAAGAGGACAAUAUAAUUUUUUUAUAGUUCGUGGUUCAGUUAGCUUUGAAAAAAAUGUUCCGGUGAUGAAUAAUACACAAUGAAUUGCUUUCUGUUGCCCAGUGUACUACAAUUUAAUAUGCAGAAUGUGAGCUUAAACUUUUUGCUGAGAAAAUGUCUGCUAAACUGCUAAUUCCCACAAGGAGUAAUUCAUUCCCCGUCCAAGUAUUUAUUAUUGAUUGAUGCUUCAUCUGUUUAUGCUGCAGAGGCAUGGUCACAUGGAUGAUUAGCAUCUUUUGGCAAAGCAUGUUAAUUCACUGAAGAAAGAUGUCCACACACAAAGAUGCUUGAUCUGUUUAUGCUUCAUCUGUUUAUGCUGCACACACAAAACUAUGAGCGAAGAUGUCCACUCAUGAUUUUUGAGGAUCACUUGAGGAUGUGAUCAGUAGUGCAGCUUCAAAGAUGCUUGAUAUGACAUAGCGUUUGAUUUUUACAAAUCUGAAAGUCGAGCCUAAGCAAUGUUACGGUUCAGAUCUAAACCUUAUAGUUACUGAUUAUCUGUUAUGCGUUACUAAUCUGACCGGCCAUCAAUCUCCACCUUAACCUUUUUUUAUCUUUCUUAUUAGCUCCAUGUCUCUAGCGUCUAUAGAGUCUUAACCCAAGAAUCUCUUCUGCCGCCUUGAGUCCAAACCCUCGGCAAGAGUCUCCCCUGCAUCCUCCUCUUCUCCUUGCUGCCUAUGUCUCCUUCUUUUGCUCCUCGGGUCGCUAUUGUGAUGCGUCCAUCGUCUUUUUCAUGAGCAGCUAGAUGAUUUCAGUCUGAGAUUACAUCCUCCUACAGAGAAUCCGACCCUUUCCAUGCUGUCACUAUAGCCAGGUCUAGCAAACUGGUCGUCCCGAUGGUGUUGGGGCUUUCCCUGAGUGGACGAUCUGGUCUUUUUUAUGCGAUGUCCAAAGAGUUGCUUGCUGCAAUGAUCAAUAAGGAGACUAAGAGUCAUGGGUCCCUUUUGGUGCUGAUCUAGGUAUGCGUUAUGUAUCCGAUUACAGUUGUUUUAAGUAGCCAACAUUGGCUGCAAAGCAACAUCUUAUCUAUUAGUUUUUCACCAAUCCGAUUAAUACUCUGUAGUUCAUUAUGUUCACAUGACAAAAGAAUUUGAAGUUAAUAAAAAAAAUCUGACUGUUACUCCAUGCAAUUAGUUGUAAUUAGAGGACACUGGGAAAUAAAGUUUCAAUCAGUCCACUGCUACUGUAUGCGAAUAGUUAUAUAAGUUGGUAUAUUUGAAGGAUGUGAAGAAAAAUCGUAGUAUUUACAACAGAAUCUUUUUUGCUUACAUAUUGAGAAUGCUCUCCAUGCAUGUUGUGGUCUUUGUUUCUUAAGCUCCCAAACUAAGCUUAAGGAGCCAUAUGGAGAUGGAGAUGGUCACACACCGACAGGUUAGGGAUUUUGAGGUCCAUCAUGGCGACUAUUUUGGGAAAAAAAUUAUGGUGCAAAUGAUAUGGUAAAGUUUAGAUGCAGAGGUGUGCAACUCUCUAUCCAUCAGCAUCCAUACAUCAGGGUGGAGUAGAGGAAGGGAGCAUUUACCAGAAAUGUGUUUUUAGCAGCAUUAUUUUUAGAUAAAACAAUUAUACCUUCUUUGAUCUGUAAGCUGCACACAGGGUAGAAGAUGCAAUUUGGUUUAGAAGAAUAAGAAAACACAUUCACACCAGGGCUUAUAAUUCUUAGGAUAGUAUCAGAAAGUAUAUGCAAUAUGGUUUAGGUAACAAAAACACAACAUUAUGUCUUCCUUUGGAAAAUUUGCCACUCUGAAGACAAACAGAAUUAUCACUUUCAUCUUAUUGCUGGUAUUUUCUUAAAGUAAGAAUAUAAACAAGAGAUGGGUUUAUAUGAAGCAGGCCUACCGCAACAGUCAAAAGAUGAUGUCUCAGUAUUUCACUUAAAAGCGAGGACAAGUGCCCAUAAAUGAUUAUAUUUAUCUACUUUAUUAAACUAGCAUAUUAACUAAUCCACCGAACACAUGUACUCUAUAUUCUUACUUAUUGCAUGACGUGCUUUUGCUUCUUGAUAAAUAUGUCCAUUUUCACUAUUAUUUUACAAUAUCUGCUACGUACAGUGGCAUCAUUGAGCAUUCCUUUACUUUUCACAUUUCAGUUCAAUGUUCUGCCCAGUGCACAGUAUAUAGCUACAUUGGAUGUCGCUAUUAAAUACUUCGAGGUCAUGUGACAGAGCAUGGAAAAAGAACUAUCGAAGGUAUGUUUUAUGCUCAUACUACGAUUUUGAGAUUCAGAUGCAGUUUUAUUUAGAACACUUUUUUAUCAUAAUAUUCAAUUCCAAUGCAUUUGGAAUGGGUCAAGUCAAUUGUAAGAGUUGAAUUAGCUACUUUGCCUUUGAGUCCUUUGUGGUUUAGUUGUAAUUUUUUAUUCAAUAAAUUCCUAAAUGCACCAUUUCUUAUGAGCAGUUUUUUUAAAAUCAAAAUCGCAAUGUUGUAUAUAUGUUUCAUGUCUCUCACGUCAAUCCUAAGAGGGCACAGGCUGGGUUCAAUAUUUUUAUCGUCAGAUCUAACCAUGAUGAAGGCAGGCCCCUCCGAUUGAUAUUAGGAAGGUGGAAGGUUGACCAGCCAUCUCUUCCUCUCCGUCGUCUCUCCAUGGUGUGCAUGUUAAGAACUUAUGCAGCAGCGGACGCCAAUUUCAUGCAGCCGCCAGCAUCAACUUCUGUGGAGUGCUCUUCUACGAUCUGAUACGAGUCCCUCCGACAUCAGAGAAGUGUAGGUUUGGGCAUGCCUGACGACAAAUCCAAUAAUCAAUUGCAAACUGAUCGUAUCGUACGUUGUGUACAAUCGACAUGUUUGCUUGGGUGGAAAAGUCUCGCUUCUGAUUACAGCGCUUUCAGAAGACAGAAGAAGUCGUUUGGUUCAGCCCUUCUAUUUUGUGUUACGAUACUAUCGGAUACAGCGCUUCACUUUGCUUCCGCGAAAACGUCCGGUCACGGCUGGAUACAGAAUCCUCUCUGCUACGCAUUCCCUCGCGGUCGAACCAAACAAAACGUGCAUUCAGGAGGAAAUAUCAGAGGCAAAGCUUCCCGACACUAAAAAUCGAAAACUAUACCAACGUGGAACCAAACGCCUCCUAUAUUUCUUCAGUUCCACUGGGAAAACAUAGAUUGAUUAUGUAUCAAUAAACCAUGUGUUAGUCAAGACAAAAACAUGGAUGUAAAGCUCAGGUUUGUUAAGUUUUUUGGUUGUACGUGUGACAUGGUUCAUAUACAUAUUGCUAGCUACUUUAUUUUUCGUUCA